rnacentral:lncRNA from 12 species
CUUUUUAGUCUUUGUUGCUGAGGCAAAGUUGGAUCCUUUGCUAUGAGCUGAUUUCAGUUGUGCUUGGAAAUUUACUGAAACAGCUACUCCGAAAUAACUAUUCUGAAGAGAUAUUUUGGUGUGGGCGCUCAUAUUCUUGCAUAAGAGCGUAGCUUGCUGGUCUGUGCACCAUGGAACUAGAGUAAUUGCUGACUAAUUAUUCAAGAAUAGUGCUUUUGGUAAAUGCCUGAGCACAGAAAAGCCCACUACAAAGAACAAAGACACCCCCCAUCCCACCCUGAUUCCAAAGAGGAUAUUCUUCCCAAGGGUUUCUGUAGAGAGAGGAGGCCUCUGCAGAUGGCCUGUGGGCAAGCUGCUGUGGCCAGGGGGAUCAGCUCAACAUGUGUCCCUAAAACCAGCACCCAGACAGAAGGUCCGGUGAGGCAGAGCCAGGUAUUUCUUGUUAAAUGAGGAAUGCUUUGUAUCACUUCACAUGUGCCAGCAAUGAUUUUACACCCAAGUACUUUGUGAACAGUGAAACUUCCAGAUAGCUUCCCCUGUUUCCUGGUUGAAACCAUUUUAGCAAAGAAAUUCCUCAUUGAAAGUCAUCCUCUAUCACAGGGCCAUAAAAUACUGUGUCUUGUAUUUUGUAUUCU